rnacentral:rRNA from 1 species
CAGCCUGUGUGUGUGCGUGUGCGGCAGCGGUGUGUGUGGUGACUGUGUGAGAGAGUAGAACGAGGGCCUGUUCGUUGCGGAGGCGGGAGGGGUGACGUAGGGCGGCGGCUGUGUCCCUGGGAGGGAACGACGCGCGACGAAGCCGUCCCUGACGGGGAGACGGAGGGGUGAGGGGUACCGACGACUCUGCCGGCGGGAAGAGAACGGAGAGGUGGAGGCAGGCGCCUCCGCGUCUGAAGGAGAGGUGGUCUAGGAGCCAGCACCUGAGCUGUACUCUCGACCUCCCAAGGGGAUGCGGAUGGAGGAGGAGGGCGCCCUGUUCUGCGUCUUAGCCUCGUUCGCGGCUCCUCGCGGCCGAUCCUGCGGCACGAGGCUACCCAACCCGCACAACGCUCGGAGUGGCACCGGUUCAUGGUGUACGAGGUCUCACCUACCAGCUACGGGAGGGGUGGACCGGUGGAGUGCGCACUGACCAUAAAGCAGUAGGGCGGAGACGAGCUAAGCCGAGGCAGGCUACCGCCACGAACGCGGAACUGCGGCGCGGAGCGUGCUACCGGCGGUCUUCGGAUACGGAACCGGCGAAAUCGAUAACACGCAUUCGCACUAGAUUAUUAGUCUUUACAAAACUACAUUAGGUAACGAGUACGUUAAGAUAUCAGACACCUUUGACGAGAAAAUGUGACCAUGUUAACGUCAGAAUUCAACCUUGAAUAAACAUCAAAUAAGUCACUGAUGUAUUAUAGAGAUAUAUUACGGUAUGGUUAUUCCGUAUAAACUAAUCAGAACGAACCAGACUUGUAAGAAUUUACAUUAAGUCCUACGAGAUCGAUUAGAAAAAAGAGUAAAGACUGUUCUACGUAACAACAAAUAGACUUGUCGUCAAAGCACCGUACUUUUUCUUGUAUAUAUAUUGUUACGUAAGGUACCCCGACGUCAUGACCUUUUAAAGGACUAGCAACUCCGUUGGUUGUACCUAAACGUAUCGAAGACAUUGAGUUUACUUACGAUACAUUUAUUAUAAAAAAAGCAGAUUGAUAAUAGUUUUACGUACGUCCAAAUCGAGACUGUCUUAGUUCAGUUAGUUGAUACCCUGUCUAAAAACACAUGUGAAGAACACGUAUACACUUCCCUUCGUUCGAACCUAAGUGACCUACUACAUAUGUGUGGUUCACGUGGAGCGAAAGUAUUAUCGUUCGUUGGAGUAUAACUCCAUGCAAGAGAAGCGAACGUCGGAAAAAUUCUCAAACCAAAAAGGUCAAUCAGAGAAGACUACCACUACAGAGUCUUUUAGCGAAAGAGGCCACCAACUACUAAAAUCGAGAUAUACGAACACAACGUUUGUCGUGUUCGUUGACCCGUUGGUAAACAAAGUAUUUGAGUUUGGUAACUUGAAUUUUUGUAGUGGAAGGCGUCGACCACACAUAGCAUCAACUCACUGUCGUCUAACGGGUCACCCGAAGAGGCGUCACACUUUUAGACAGUCUUUCUUAACUAGUAUCUAUACUAAUAUGAACACUGACGAUGUAGUAUUUCUUGUCUUUUUUACCUGUAUGGUCCACUAUACCGGUGCCCACAGAAUCUACCUCACGCGAAAGUUAAAUCUUUCCUCUACAUCGAAACAAUAAUAGGAAACGGAGCACAGAAGAAAAAUUAUAGAGCACAGAAGAAAUUAAGAAAACCUAGACGAAAAACUGGACAGAGGUUCUUUUAGAAGUCCUAGAUAUUCCAGUUUCAUCCAUUCUCAACCACUAUAUAAAUAAAUGGGACCCAUUUAUCGUUUAGUUCAUUUAUUCUUUCAGAACAUGUAGAGUAAAACCUUUAAACUCUUUACUAGUUCUCCACUUCAGGUGAAACUAAAAAUGGAACACGUCUGAAUCCAAACAACAUCCAGGAACAUCAGUACCAAAAGAAAAUUUUUUUAGUAUGUAGUAGCUUGGUACGACUUGGGUGCACAUGUCUCAUACGACAGUAGUAGAAUGUAUCGUAGAAGAUAUUUAGUAUGUGUUUUAAAGCCUUAGACUUGAUGUGUUGAAACUUUGUUUGACUUUUCAAUAGUCGUAGACGUGAUUUGUAACCAUUCAAUCGAAAUCCUCUUUGCAUGAGUUUCUUAUAGACUCAGCCGGCAAUAAGUAGAACUGUCAUUCCGUGCUAUCAGUAAUUUAAGCAUAAUGCUAAGAAGCACGGUUGUGAUGUUGGAUGUUGUCAUUUAGUAUAUAUAUUGAUACAGGCUUUGAACUGUAGUAUGUUACACCUUCUUCCUUAAUUUAACGGUUUUUAUAUAUGUAUGGAAUGAGAAAUUGACGCAAAUGAGCUAACGACUCAGACUACUUAACGAUGUAUUUAUCGGGUUUACUAACGGACCGGUAUACAUUACAACCAUUUGUAUGUUACAUUCAUGGUCUUAAGCUAGUCUUAUUUUGAAGCCGUUUGGUUGUAAAUCAAUAAAUUUGUUUUCAAGUGGAAUAACUCAUGUCUUCACCGUGAACCUAAUUCGUAAACUUUUUGUAAUUACGUACCAUGGGUUAUGGUUAACCGUCCGGUUGUAUAUUCUUGUUUAAAACGAAUUAACAUAAAGUCUAUAUAUCUCUUCGUACAUGACUAAAAAUAAACGUGUUUUACUAAUCAGCAUCUAACAGUAUCUCUAAAACAUCAGUAAAGUAAGUUUACCGAAUUUUGAUUGUAUUUUUACACCGUUAGGUAACCGUGUUUAUCUGAAGUAUGUCAUGAGAGUUCAGAUGUUAUGUUAUGGUUAACCGUUCGGUUGUAAGUCUCUUCGUAGAUGACUUGAAUCCAACAUCUUUAAGUCUCUUCGUACAAGACCUAAAUCGUUCAUCUUUAAGUCUCUUCGUACUCACCUCCUCGGCUAAGAUGGCAAAGCACAUACGACAGAUGGAAAAGGAUAAUAGUCAACCCUACAGUGAAAAAGACAGAAGGUACGAGUCCCAGAAAACUAUAUCUUGAACAACUGAUAGACUGAAGGUACGAUGUUUUCUAUCCGUAGAGGAUUUAAUACAAACGAUUAAGAAAGUAAAUCGGUUCAACCUACAGUUAGGAGGGUUAAUACACGAAUAUAUUAUUGUCUUGUAUAAUCUCUUAUCUCUAUACAAGUCACUGUACGUAAGACAAAGUACGUUUCGUGUAUUUGAGAUAUAAUAUCCGGUAACGUAAAACAAAUGAGCCAUAUAAUUCUUUAUCCUCAUGUUAACAUCAGUACAAAAAAAUACAAUGAGAAACAUAAAUACUUAAAACUGGGUUUAGACGGUGCUCCACUUGAAACUGACUACAGGUAGUAAAACCAGUUAUAAUAAAACAACAGAGUUCGCGUCUAAGAAGAUUAAUGCCAUGAGGAUUAUUAACUUAUACACCCCUCUCAGUCACAAGGUACUUUGGUCUAACGAAAGGAACGAUGUCUCAUACUCGGUGGAUCCAAACAAAGGGCAGUCGAUUGAAGGAUGUGGUUCGGCCGCCGAACUACAACUCCAUUUCAGAAUUUCUUUUAAGACUAGCUUCAAACAUGGACUAGUUUCAAACGACCGAACCACCGCUCCCGCAGUUGUACCGCUGCCGCCGUCGGGCGCGAGCGUAGGCAACCAGUCGUCUCCUCUCGUCGUCCGCCGGUGCCGCGGGGCGCGAGUACAGGCACCCGGUCGUCUCCACUUCGGCUGCCACCGCGGCCUCUGAGAGCGAGCGUAGGUACCCCGUCACAUCCUCUCCGUUCACCGCUGCCGCCAGACACGAGCGCAGUAACCCCGUCAUCUCCUCGCCUGCCGCCGCUGACUCAGGGCACAAACGCAGAAACCCCAUCGUCUUCUCCUCGCCUGUUCCCUGUUGCCGUCGCAGCUAGGCGCGAGUGCAGGUAUCCCGUCGUCUGUUGUCUCCUCCUCGCCGCCCGCCACCGCCGCUAGACGCGUGCGCAGACACCCCAUCGUCUCUCUGCUGCGCAACACUCCCGUCUCUCUUUUAAUGCCCUAUCUUUGGGGGAUAGGAGCAAUUAACUCCUGGUUGGUCACGCAGCCCGUCAGACGAACCGUCUUGUAAAUUAGACCCUGCAAGUACACGCAUCGUCUGGGAACUACAUUAUACCUAACAAUCUACGAUAAAUCAACCUAACUAGAUUGCGGAGACUAUUAGGACACGUAUGAAACACCACACAGAGAUCCCCUUAAGUACAAACGAGAAAAUUAUCAUCAUAUCUACCUACACAUACGUCCACUCUCUCGAAUGGAGUCGAAUCUCAUGCGUAGUCACAACAUUACACGUCG